AUGUGCUUUUUCAAAGGUUCUGAAUUCCUUCAUUACUUGUCUGUUCUAGAUUCAUCUAGAUCAAGAAUGUUCUCUUUAGACCUCUCCACAGUCCGACUGAAGUCUUGCUUUGUUCGCAUCGACGUCCCUCAGGAAUACAAAUCAAAUCUGUUCAGUCCCGAAAAUACAUUUUCUCUCAACAAGGACCCUCCGAGUCCCGGUAUCCACUAUCAGUUCUCUGAGGAUGCAAUUGAAAAACCGAGAUAUGCUGUCCCCUCUAACGUGUCCGAGUUCAUCGUCCCAGAGAUUGUGAACUCAUAUUCACUCGGUGUCACCAAUAUAUUCUUCCCCAACGAAGAUUCACAAAAAGAAGUCAUCGCACAUCCCUCCGAAGUCCCUCGGCAAUCAACCUCUUCCUCCGACGCUAAGAUGACGAAAAAACCAAGUUCUACCGUCCCUUUGAAAGGCCGAAAGGUUUUCAAGUGCCAUAAAUGCGAGAAGAAGUUCAGGAGCCACAACGGUUUAAGGUUACACAUGAUUACGCACUCCGGCAAAACUACUUGUCAAGUAUGCGGAACGGUUUUGUCAACUCGCGUGGCUUUAGAACGGCAUUCGCGUGACGUGCACGAACAAUCUAAUGAAGAGACUGCGCACGCAAAAUUUACUAGUGAUCCUUGUAAAAAUUUGUUCGAAUCAAGUAUAACUCUUCGCAAACGCGUGGUGUCCAAAUCACGUAUGGCUCUUCGUAAACGCGCGAAAUCGCUUACUGGCGACACGACUUGUGAUUGGUGCAAGAAGAUCCUUCCAACGGUGAGCCAUCUAAAUCUGCACGUAUGCUCCGUACAAAAGCAAUCUCAAGAAGAGACUAAGAAAAGAACUUUUAUUUGUGGUCGUUGUAAAAAAGUGCACAACUCACGUCAUGCUCUGAACAAGCACUUGAAGUUCCACGCUGGUCUGACGACCUGCAAAUUAUGCAGGCGGGCUUUUUCAAGUGUCUGCAGUUUAAAGCGGCAUUUGAUUUCCGUUCACAGGCGAAUUUCGAACAAUGGAAGAAGAACUCGCUCAUGUGCCCCCUCAAAUAUUCACAAGCCAUCACAGAAGGAGACUAAAGGAAUAAAAGCUCCCUCUCAAGACUGUCAAAAGGAGACUGAAAGAAGAGAAGCCUCCUCUCAAGACAGUCAGUUUACAUGCGGUGUUUGCAAAAAAACAUAUAAACACGCUAGAACGCUGAAGGAUCACAUGAGCUCGCACACUGGCGAAACAACGUGCAAAUUGUGCGGAAAGGUUCUGUGCAGGAUAGAUAAGUUGAGAGACCACGUGCGUCAAGUUCACAAGCUACUUCAAUAA
rnacentral:lncRNA from 1 species